rnacentral:tRNA from 1 species
GGAGACGUGGCUCGGUGGUUAAGAGUACCUGCUGCUCUUCCAGAGGACUUGGGUUCAAGUCCCAGCAUUCCCA